rnacentral:rRNA from 1 species
GAUGAACGCUGGCGGCGUGCCUAAUACAUGCAAGUCGAGCGAACGGACGAGAAGCUUGCUUCUCUGAUGUUAGCGGCGGACGGGUGAGUAACACGUGGAUAACCUACCUAUAAGACUGGGAUAACUUCGGGAAACCGGAGCUAAUACCGGAUAAUAUUUUGAACCGCAUGGUUCAAAAGUGAAAGACGGUCUUGCUGUCACUUAUAGAUGGAUCCGCGCUGCAUUAGCUAGUUGGUAAGGUAACGGCUUACCAAGGCAACGAUGCAUAGCCGACCUGAGAGGGUGAUCGGCCACACUGGAACUGAGACACGGUCCAGACUCCUACGGGAGGCAGCAGUAGGGAAUCUUCCGCAAUGGGCGAAAGCCUGACGGAGCAACGCCGCGUGAGUGAUGAAGGUCUUCGGAUCGUAAAACUCUGUUAUUAGGGAAGAACAUAUGUGUAAGUAACUGUGCACAUCUUGACGGUACCUAAUCAGAAAGCCACGGCUAACUACGUGCCAGCAGCCGCGGUAAUACGUAGGUGGCAAGCGUUAUCCGGAGUUAUUGGGCGUAAAGCGCGCGUAGGCGGUUUUUUAAGUCUGAUGUGAAAGCCCACGGCUCAACCGUGGAGGGUCAUUGGAAACUGGAAAACUUGAGUGCAGAAGAGGAAAGUGGAAUUCCAUGUGUAGCGGUGAAAUGCGCAGAGAUAUGGAGGAACACCAGUGGCGGAGGCGACUUUCUGGUCUGUAACUGACGCUGAUGUGCGAAAGCGUGGGGAUCAAACAGGAUUAGAUACCCUGGUAGUCCACGCCGUAAACGAUGAGUGCUAAGUGUUAGGGGGUUUCCGCCCCUUAGUGCCGCAGCUAACGCAUUAAGCACUCCGCCUGGGGAGUACGACCGCAAGGUUGAAACUCAAAGGAAUUGACGGGGACCCGCACAAGCGGUGGAGCAUGUGGUUUAAUUCGAAGCAACGCGAAGAACCUUACCAAAUCUUGACAUCCUUUGACAACUCUAGAGAUAGAGCCUUCCCCUUCGGGGGGGCAAAGUGACAGGUGGUGCAUGGUUGUCGUCAGCUCGUGUCGUGAGAUGUUGGGUUAAGUCCCGCAACGAGCGCAACCCUUAAGCUUAGUUGCCAUCAUUAAGUUGGGCACUCUAAGUUGACUGCCGGUGACAAACCGGAGGAAGGUGGGGAUGACGUCAAGUCAUCAUGCCCCUUAUGAUUUGGGCUACACGCGUGCUACAAUGGACAAUACAAAGGGCAGCGAAACCGCGAGGUCAAGCAAAUCCCAUAAAGUUGUUCUCAGUUCGGAUUGUAGUCUGCAACUCGACUACAUGAAGCUGGAAUCGCUAGUAAUCGUAGAUCAGCAUGCUACGGUGAAUACGUUCCCGGGUCU